rnacentral:tRNA from 4 species
GGCCCCAUGGUCAAGUGGUUAAGACACCGCCCUUUCAAGGCGGUAACCCGGGUUCGAAUCCCGGUGGGGUCACCA